rnacentral:ncRNA from 1 species
GUUUCUUUGCCGGGUUCCACCUCCUCCCGGAACCUGAUGCAAAAGCGGCGACAUCGCUCCUCCUCCCUAGAUGUCGCCGCCUCUC